GUAUUUAGGUAGCUUGUUUACUGCGUUUUAGUCAAAUCUUGAGUAGUUUUUGUUAAUUUGAUAUCUGCUUUUUUCUUUGUAGUUCCUCUAUAAAAAGUUACUUUAAUAGUAUCAUUAAUAUCGUGUCCGUAUAGACUACUUUGUAAAUCACUAAUUGAAUUAACUGUUUUGCCAUCAAUUUCUGUAAUCACAUCGUACUGAGCAAGUUUGCCAGAUGCCGGCAUUCCUUCCUUAACUUCUGCUACUACAAUACCACCAGUUACACUAGUUGGAAUAUUAAUUUGACUAAGAGCAUUUGUGGAUAAGUCAUUUAAAUUGACCAUGGAUAUUCCAAGAGCAGGUCUGAUAACUUCACCAUUAGUUUCUAGUUGUUUAAUAAUUUUAAUAACAUCAGUAGAUGGGAUAGCAAAACCAAUUCCUUCAACAGCACCACUAUUACCGUUGCUACCAGUUGGGGUAGAAGAAAUUUUACUUGAAUUAAUUCCGAUUACUUGCCCCUCAAUAUUAAUUAGUGGUCCACCAGAGUUUCCAGGGUUAAUAGCAGCAUCUGUCUGAAUAGCAUUUGUUGAGACAGUCUCACCAUUCUCGUUUUUUAAAGUUACAGUACGACUUAAACUAGAGACGAUUCCUUGAGUAACAGAAUUAGCGUAUUGUGUUCCUAGUGGGCUGCCGAUAGCAAUAGCAACUUCUCCAACAUUUAGUUUUGUAGAAUCUGCAAAUUCAGCUACUGUUUUUAUCUUAUCUGAAGAGAUCUUAACAACAGCUAAAUCCGAAUAAGUAUCAGCUCCAACUAAUUCACCAACAACUUUAGAUCCGUCUGCCAUAAGAAUUUCAAUUCGUUUAGCUCCGUCGAUAACAUGGUUAUUAGUAACAACGUAAGCGGAGUUGCCAUCUUUUCGAUAAAUGACCCCAGAUCCUUCACUAAAAAUAGAUAAUUCAGCAUCCUUAUUCUCUUUUGAACGCCCUUCUCCAAAGAGUUUUGUAUAAGGGUUAGAAAGGGAUGAAGAAGGGUUAUCUUGAUAAUUAAUAACUGAUACAACUGCAUUUUGAACAGCUUUGACAGCUUUAGUAGUAUUGGUUGUGUUGUUAAAAACCAUAUUACUAGUUGUUGCCUUACCUGAAUUUAUUUUUGAUGGAGAAUGUGGGUAGAGAUUAUUGAAUGUAAUAAUUGCUAUUAAUCCUCCUAAAAAUCCAAUUAGUAAAAUACUUAAGGAUUUUAAGAUAUGUUUCAUACUUGGCAUGUUUUGUCCUCCGAAUUAUUUGUCCAUAGCUUAUAGAACUUUGCUUAAUUAUACCUUAAAAAUAAAAAAAAGAAAAGUAAUCCACAGCCUGUGGAUUACUUUUCUUU
rnacentral:antisense_RNA from 1 species